UACGUAGGGUGCAAGCGUUGUCCGGAAUUAUUGGGCGUAAAGGGCUCGUAGGCGGUCCAUCGCGUCGGGAGUGAAAAGCUGGGGCUUAACCCCAGUCCUGCUUCCGAUACGGGUGGACUAGAGGUAGGUAGGGGAGAUCGGAAUUCCUGGUGUAGCGGUGAAAUGCGCAGAUAUCAGGAAGAACACCCGUGGCGAAGGCGGUUCUCUGGGACGGUACUGACGCUGAGACGCGAAAGCGUGGGGAGCGAACAGG
rnacentral:rRNA from 1 species